rnacentral:rRNA from 1 species
ACGGGAGGCAGCAGUGGGGAAUAUUGCACAAUGGGCGCAAGCCUGAUGCAGCAAUGCCGCGUGAGUGAAGAAGUAUUUCGGUAUGUAAAGCUCUAUCAGCAGGGAAGAAAGACCUCGUAAGAGGGGAUGACGGUACCUGUGAAGGAAGCUCCGGCUAACUACGUGCCAGCAGCCGCGGUAAUACGUAGGGAGCAAGCGUUAUCCGGAAUUACUGGGUGUAAAGGGAGUGUAGGCGGGACUGUAAGUCAGAUGUGAAAUAUGCCGGCUCAACUGGCAGACUGCAUUUGAAACUGCGGUUCUUGAGUGAAGUAGAGGUAAGCGGAAUUCCUAGUGUAGCGGUGAAAUGCGUAGAUAUUAGGAGGAACAUCAGUGGCGAAGGCGGCUUACUGGGCUUUAACUGACGCUGAGGCACGAAAGCGUGGGGAGCAAACAGGAUUAGAUACCCUGGUA